rnacentral:rRNA from 1 species
AUUGAACGCUGGCGGCAUGCUUUACACAUGCAAGUCGAACGGUAACAGGGUGCUUGCACCGCUGACGAGUGGCGAACGGGUGAGUAAUGCGUCGGAACGUGCCGAGUAGUGGGGGAUAACGCAGCGAAAGUUGUGCUAAUACCGCAUACGUACUGAGGUAGAAAGUGGGGGACCUUCGGGCCUCACGCUAUUCGAGCGGCCGGCGUCUGAUUAGCUAGUAGGUGAGGUAAAGGCUCACCUAGGCGACGAUCAGUAGCGGGUCUGAGAGGAUGGUCCGCCACACUGGGACUGAGACACGGCCCAGACUCCUACGGGAGGCAGCAGUGGGGAAUUUUGGACAAUGGGCGAAAGCCUGAUCCAGCCAUGCCGCGUGUCUGAAGAAGGCCUUCGGGUUGUAAAGGACUUUUGUCAGGGAGGAAAUCCCUAGUGCUAAUAACACUGGGGGAUGACAGUACCUGAAGAAUAAGCACCGGCUAACUACGUGCCAGCAGCCGCGGUAA